UUUGUAAAUAGCAAUUGGCCUCUCCCCAACCCUUGCCACCAAGUGCUCCUCACGCCUCUGAGUCAACAGGCAAAGAAGAGAAUAACAGUGUUGGCUAAGGUAAUUGCUCCUGACUACCAAGGGAAAAUUUGACUACUACUCCACAAUGGAGGUCAAUUCAUAUGAAGUCUGAGAACUGAAGAUUGGAUGCAGUUAAUUGGAGAAAUACUUUCAAAUGGGUACAGUCCAAACUUUGAAGUAAUAUAAAUCCACAUUUGAAAAUUC
rnacentral:lncRNA from 1 species